GGGACUGAUGGGACUGGAACAAGCCUGCUGUGAUUGGAGCUCGACUGUUAUUAGGCUCCUCCUCUCAGUAGAUUUGAACCCAAUUUGCACAUAAUACGACCCAUUUCUAUCACAGUAACCCAUCAAUAUUCUUGGAGAGCUUGGAGUUUGCUGACACUAAAAUCAUAAAAUCCCUUUAACAGCGGGCGGGCGGACGUUAAAAACCAUUUAAUGAGCACAUGGAAGGAGGGGCUGCUUCUUGACCUUCAAACUGUGAUUUCCAUAACAAUACCAUUCCAUGUAGUCUGACUCUGGUUUAUCCAAUGAAAGCUCAUGUUAAACCCAGCUACACAGUAUAUGAUAUACUGUAGGAAGUAAUGAUGGAACACAUAUUAGAAUAAGGAUUUUCACUGGGGUCUCAGUCGGAGGGAACUCACCCCAUCCACAGCUAAUGUGUAGCAGCACCCACUUAGGUGAUAGGUGGUGGCCAUGUUGUAACAGAACACUCAAACCACACAUCAGCUAGCUGUUAUGGUGGAACAGCUGAUUUGGUCAUUUAUUCUGAACAUGUUUUUCGAUCUCCAAUGUCAUUCUAUAGGGAGCACCAUAUAGACAGAACAUUGAUGAGGAUAACCUUGACAUAUGUCAGCUACAGAGGAAGAUGUAUGGCCUCCAGCCUCCAGCAUAACACACACAUUCACGAGAUAUCACACACACACACACACACACACACACAAGCACACACAGACCAAUAUAUCCUAUAUACAGUAAGUAACCUCCACCACACACCCAGCUGAGUAGCCUGCCCCCACUAAUAUCUCUUCCCCAUCACACCCAGCUGAGUAGCCUGCCCCCACUAAUAUCUCUUCCCCAUCACACCCAGCUGAGUAGCCUGCCCCCACUAAUAUCUCUUCCCCAUCACACCCAGCUGAGUAGCCUGCCCCCACUACUAUCUCUUCCCCAUCACACCCAGCUGAGUAGCCUGCCCCCACUAAUAUCUCUUCCCCAUCACACCCAGCUGAGUAGCCUGCCCCCACUAAUAUCUCUUCCCCAUCACACCCAGCUGAGUAGCCUGCCCCCACUAAUAUCUCUUCCCCAUCACACCCAGCUGAGUAGCCUGCCCCCACUACUAUCUCUUCCCCAUCACACCCAGCUGAGUAGCCUGCCCCCACUAAUAUCUCUUCCCCAUCACACCCAGCUGAGUAGCCUGCCCCCACUAAUAUCUCUUCCCCAUCACACCCAGCUGAGUAGCCUGCCACCACUACUAUCUCUUCCCCAUCACACCCAGCUGAGUAGCCUGCCCCCACUAAUAUCUCUUCCCCAUCACACCCAGCUGAGUAGCCUGCCACCACUACUAUCUCUUCCCCAUCACACCCAGCUGAGUAGCCUGCCACCACUACUAUCUCUUCCCCAUCACACCCAACUGAGUAGCCUGCCCCCACUACUAUCUCUUCCCCAUCACACCCAGCUGAGUAGCCUGCCACCACUAUCUCUACCCCAUCACACCCAGCUGAGUAGCCUGCCACCACUACUAUCUCUUCCCCAUCACACCCAGCUGAGUAGCCUGCCACCACUACUAUCUCUUCCCCAUCACACCCAACUGAGUAGCCUACCCCCACUACCAUCUCUUCCCCAUCACACCCAACUGAGUAGCCUGCCCCCACUACUGAGUAGCCUGCCACCACUACUAUCUCUUCUCCAUCACACCGAACUGAGUAGCCUGCCCCCACUACUAUCUAUUCCCCAUCACACCCAGCUGAGUAGCCUGCCACCACUAAUAUCUCUUCCCCAUCACACCCAGCUGAGUAGCCUGCCACCACUACUAUCUCUUCCCCAUCACACCCAACUGAGUAGCCUGCCACCACUACCAUCUCUUCCCCAUCACACCCAACUGAGUAGCCUGCCACCACUACCAUCUCUUCCCCAUCACACCCAACUGAGUAGCCUGCCAACACUACUAUCUCUCCCCCAUCCCACCCAGCUGAGUAGCCUGCCACCACUACUAUCUCUUCCCCAUCACACCCAGCUGAGUAGCCUGCUACCACUACUAUCUCUUCCCCAUCACACCCAGCUAAGUAGCCUGCCGUCACUACUAUCUCUUCCCCAUCACACCCAGCUGAGUAGCCUGCCCCCACUACUAUCUCUUCCCCAUCACACCCAGCUGAGUAGCCUGCCCCCACUACUAUCUCUUCCCCAUCACACCCAGCUGAGUAGCCUGCCCCCACUACUAUCUCUUCCCCAUCACACCCAGCUGAGUAGCUGGACACCGCUAUCUCUUCCCCACCACACCCAGCUGCGUAGCCUGACACCACUAUCUCUUCCCCACCACACCCAGCUGAGUAGCUGGACACCGCUAUCUCUUCCCCAUCACACCCAGCUGAGUAGCUGGACACCACUAUCUCUUCCCCAUCACACCCAGCUGAGUAACCUGCCACCACUACUAUCUCUUCCCCAUCACAGCCAGCUGAGUAGCCUGCCACCACUACUAUCUCUUCCCCAUCACACCCAGCUGAGUAGCCUGACACCACUAUCUCUACCCCAUCACACCCAGCUGAGUAGCCUGCCACCACUACUAUCCCUUCCCCAUCACACCCAGCUGAGUAGCCUGACACCACUAUCUCUACCCCAUCACACCCAGCUGAGUAGCCUGACACCACUAUCUCUACCCCAUCACACCCAGCUGAGUAGCCUGCCACCACUACUAUCUCUUCCCCAUCACACCCAGCUGAGUAGCCUGACACCACUAUCUCUUCCUCAUGCUGCUCAUCUCCCUAGC
ensembl:lncRNA